rnacentral:rRNA from 1 species
AUUGAACGCUGGCGGCAGGCCUAACACAUGCAAGUCGAACGAGUGGCGGACGGGUGAGUAAUGUCUGGGAAACUGCCUGAUGGAGGGGUAUAACUACUGGAAACGGUAGCUAAUACCGCAUACCAUCAGAUGUGCCCAGAUGGGAGUAGCUUGUUGGUGGGGUAACGGCUCACCAAGGUGACGAUCCCUAGCUGGUCUGAGAGGAUGACAAGCCACACUGGAACUGAGACACGGUCCAGACUCCUACGGGAGGAAGCAGUGGGGAAUAUAGCCCAAUGGGCGCAACCCUGACGCAGCCAUGCCGCGUAAAUUAAGAAGGCCUUCGGGUUGUAAAGUACUUUCGGCAAGGAGGCGUUACCCCCAGAAGAAGCACCGGCUAACUCCGUGCCAGCAGCCGCGGUAAUUC